UACGAGUGCUCCGAGCGUUAUCCGGAAUUAUUGGGCGUAAAGGGUGUGUAGGUGGUAGUGUUAGUCUUUUGUUAAAUUCUUCGGCUUAACCGGGGGCAUGCAAAGGAAACGGCACAACUAGAGGAUGCGAGAGGUGAAUGGAACUCAUGGAGUAGGGGUGAAAUCCGUUGAUAUCAUGGGGAACACCAAAUGCGAAGGCAAUUCACUGGCGCACUCCUGACACUGAGACACGAAAGCGUAGGUAGCGAAUGGG
rnacentral:rRNA from 1 species